GACGAACGCUGGCGGCGUGCUUAACACAUGCAAGUCGAACGGAAAGGCCCUGCUUGCAGAGUACUCGAGUGGCGAACGGGUGAGUAACACGUGGGUGAUCUGCCCUGCACUUCGGGAUAAGCCUGGGAAACUGGGUCUAAUACCGGAUAGGAGCCAUUUUUAGUGUGAUGGUUGGAAAGUUUUUUCGGUGUAGGAUGAGCUCGCGGCCUAUCGGCUUGUUGGUGGGGUAAUGGCCUACCAAGGCGGCGACGGGUAGCCGGCCUGAGAGGGUGGACGGCCACAUUGGGACUGAGAUACGGCCCAGACUCCUACGGGAGGCAGCAGUGGGGAAUAUUGCACAAUGGGCGCAAGCCUGAUGCAGCGACGCCGCGUGGGGGAUGACGGCCUUCGGGUUGUAAACUCCUUUCGCUAGGGACGAAGCUUUUUGUGACGGUACCUAGAUAAGAAGCACCGGCUAACUACGUG
rnacentral:rRNA from 1 species